rnacentral:rRNA from 1 species
GAUGAACGCUGGCGGCGUGCCUAAUACAUGCAAGUCGAGCGAACAGACGAGGAGCUUGCUCCUCUGACGUUAGCGGCGGACGGGUGAGUAACACGUGGAUAACCUACCUAUAAGACUGGGAUAACUUCGGGAAACCGGAGCUAAUACCGGAUAAUAUAUUGAACCGCAUGGUGCAAUAGUGAAAGACGGUUUUGCGGUCACGUAUAGAUGGUUCCGCGCCGCAUUAGCUAGUUGGUAAGGUAACGGCUUACCAAGGCAACGAUGCGUAGCCGACCUGAGAGGGUGAUCGGCCACACGGGAACUGAGACACGGUCCAGACUCCUACGGGAGGCCGCAGUCGGGAAUCUUCCGCAAUAGGCGAAAGCCUGACGGAGCAACGCCGCGUGAGUGAUGAAGGCCUUCGGAUCGUAAAACUCUGUUAUUAGGGAAGAACAAAUGUGUCAGUAACUAUGCACGUCUUGACGGUACCUAAUCAGAAAGCCACGGCUAACUACGUG